CCCAUUCCUAGAAGUGAUGUUAAAAACCGACAAAACAAAAACAAACCAUUUCUUAACCAAGGACAGAAAUUUUAAAACGAAAGAACACACUGUCUGA